UAUUUAUUAGAUAACAGACCAAUAUUCCUCGUGUCUAUUGUGGUGACUCAUAGUAACUGAUCGGAUCGCAUGGCCUUGUGCCGCGACUAACCAUUCAAGUUUCUGACCCAUCAGCUUUCGAUGGUAGUGUAUUGGACUACCAUGGCUUUCACGGGUAACGGAGGAUUAGGGUUCGAUUCCGGAGAGGGAGCCUGAGAAACGGCUACCACAUCUAAGGAAGGCAGCAGGCGCGUAAAUUACCCAAUCCUGACUCAGGGAGGUAGUGACAAGAAAUAACGGGUCGGGGCAUUCGCCUCGGGAUUGCAAUGAAUCGAAUUUACACCCCUUAAUGAGGAUCAAUUGGAGGGCAAGUCUGGUGCCAGCAGCCGCGGUAAUUCCAGCUCCAAUAGCGUAUAUUAAAGUUGUUGCAGUUAAAAAGCUCGUAGUUUGAUUUCUGGACGGGCGCCAACACCCGCUUGUUUAGUGUGGAGGCGGCGCCCGCCCAUCCUUCUGUUAACGCCACCGGCAUUCGUUUGCUGGCGGCGGGCUCAGAUAUUUUACCUUGAGAAAAAUUAUAGUGUUUCAGGCAGGCUUGUG
rnacentral:rRNA from 1 species